rfam:Danio rerio chromosome 18, GRCz11 reference primary assembly.
GAACUAAAAGGUUGUAAGUCGCUUUGGAUAAAAGCGUCUGCUAAAUGACUCAAU